rnacentral:rRNA from 1 species
GACGAACGCUGGCGGCGUGCUUAACACAUGCAAGUCGAACGGAAAGGCCCUGCUUUUGUUGGGUGCUCGAGUAGCGGGCGGGUGAGAAACAAGUGAGUAACCUGCCCUUGACUUUUGAAUAACUUCAGGAAACUGUGGCUCCUACCGGAUAGGAGCUCCUCCUGGAUGGGGGGGGUUGGCAAGUUUGGGCGGUUGGGGAUGGUCGCGCGGCUUGUCAGUUUGUUGGUGGGGUACUGGCUUACCAAGGCUUUGAGGGGUAGCCGGCCUGAGAGGGUGACCGGCAACAUUGGGAUGGAGAUACGGCCCAGACUCCUCCGGGAGGCAGAGGGGGGGAAUAUGGAAAAAUGGGCGGAAGCCGGAUGCAGCAACGCCGCGUGCGGGAGGACGGCCUUCGGGUUGUAACCCGUUUUCGCCUGUGACGAGGCGUGAGUGACGGUAAUGGGUAAAGAAGCACCGGCUAACUACGUG